CAGGAACCUAACUGAUACAGAAACAUUCCUUUGUUUGGUCUGAUGGUGCUCUGUCAGACAGUGUGGAGAGUAUACGGCUAACAACAGUCUGAUCCAGCUUGGAGCUUCAUUAUCUGUACCUGUCUGUCUGGCUACAGUCCAUCUGACUGUCUGACAGCGUCUCCUCCACCGCCGACUGCUAUUCAGGAUUAAUGAAAGCCAAUGAAAGCAGCCCUCCUCCUCUUUUCCCCCCUUCCCUCCUGUUCUCCCCCUGCCCAGCCAAAGAAAAGGCCGGCCGUAGGCCUCAUUAUUAAAAGCAAUGGCCAGGACUCAGGCCUUGUCUGCACAAACACACAGCGACGGAGUUGGGAGGGAAAGGGAAACUGGCUCACGGGGGGAUGGGGUUUCAAUAAACGUCAGCCAGCGUCGGCUCUGUUUGGACUGCAAA